rnacentral:rRNA from 1 species
AGAGACAGCAGUCGCCGCGGGAAUACGGAGGGUGCAAGCGUUAAUCGGAAUUACUGGGCGUAAAGCGCACGCAGGCGGUCUGACAAGUCAGAUGUGAAAUCCCCGGGCUUAACCUGGGAACUGCAUUUGAAACUGUCAGGCUGGAGUCUUGUAGAGGGGGGUGGAAUUCCAGGUGUAGCGGUGAAAUGCGUAGAGAUCUGGAGGAAUACCGGUGGCGAAGGCGGCCCCCUGGACAAAGACUGACGCUCAGGUGCGAAAGCGUGGGGAGCAAACAGGAUUAGAUACCCCAGUAGUCCCUGUCUCUUAUAA